GCCUGGGGAGCCCAGCUGUGCUGUGGGCUCAGAGGCAGAGCUCUGGGUGUCACCAUGGCCUGGACCCCUCUCCUGCUGCCCCUCCUCACUCUCUGCACAGGCGCUGUGUCCCCCUAUGAGCUGACACAGCCUCCCUCAGUGUCAGUGACCCCAGGACAGACGGCCAGGAUCCCCUGCUCUGGAGACCAACUUGACAAGAAAUACGUGUACUGGUACCAGCAGAAGCCGGGCCAGGCCCCUGUGCUGGUGAUAUAUAAAGACAGUGAGCGGCCCUCGGGGAUCCCUGAGCGGUUCUCGGGGUCCAGCUCGGGGAACACGGCCGCCCUGACCAUCAGCGGGGCCCAGGCCGGGGACGAGGCUGACUACUACUGUGCCACAGGGCAUGGCAGUGGGAGCAGCAUUCAGUGACUCACAGUGACACAA